rnacentral:lncRNA from 1 species
GCGGCUGCCAAGGAGAGCUGGAGGAGUUGAAACAGGUUCUGGGUGAGGUGAGUUUCGUGGGCUGGGCAGAAUCCAUGGCUCCGUGCCAUGUGGGUGCUCCCCAGGGCAGUAGGGGUGGGCAGGUGUGGGACCCCCAACUGGCCCCUGUGUCCAGCCCUCUGCCCUGAUGGGUGGGAGCAGAGGAAGCUUGGGAGGGGAUUGUGGAGAUGACAGAGGAUGACAGACAGGAAUGGAGGUUCACAUCCCACCCUCCUAGGCCCCCCACUGCCCAGUCUGUGGGGACCACACCAAUAGGAGCUUUGCAAGCAUCUGUGAAAAUGCUAAACAUCGGGAAAAAUGGAGCUAACUGCAAUGAUAAAAGUGCAAACUAAAAAUUAACAAUACUAGAAAAGCAAAACUAUACUAUUAUAAAAACUCAAAAACAGUAACAAAAAUUAUGUUUUUGGUGGGUCGUGGGGCUUUUCCAGCCCAUUUGAUGGGUAGUGGCUUGGAGCUGCAGGGCUGC